rnacentral:rRNA from 1 species
GGGUCAGUAGGUUGGUCGUGCCACCGGUACGUACUGGUCUCACUGAUUCCUCCUUCCUGAAGAACCGUAAUGCCAUUAUUUUGGUGUUGCGGGGAAACAGGACUGUUACUUUGAAAAAAUUAGAGUGUUUAAAGCAAGCUAACGCUUGAAUACAUUAGCAUGGAAUAAUGAAAUAGGACGAUCGAUCCCAUUUUGUUGGUUUCUAGGAUUGACGUA